rnacentral:rRNA from 1 species
CCAGACUCCUACGGGAGGCAGCAGUGAGGAAUAUUGGUCAAUGGGCGAGAGCCUGAACCAGCCAAGUCGCGUGAAGGAUGACGGCCCUACGGGUUGUAAACUUCUUUUGUCAGGGAGCAAUUGGGUCCACGCGUGGGCUUAGCGAGAGUACCUGAAGAAAAAGCAUCGGCUAACUCCGUGCCAGCAGCCGCGGUAAUACGGAGGAUGCGAGCGUUAUCCGGAUUUAUUGGGUUUAAAGGGUGCGCAGGCGGAGGUGCAAGUCAGCGGUCAAAUUGCGGGGCUCAACCCCGUACUGCCGUUGAAACUGCAUCCCUUGAGUGCGCGAGAAGUAUGCGGAAUGCGUGGUGUAGCGGUGAAAUGCAUAGAUAUCACGCAGAACUCCGAUUGCGAAGGCAGCAUACCGGCGCGCAACUGACGCUCAUGCACGAAAGCGUGGGUAUCGAACAGGAUUAGAUACCCUUGUA